rnacentral:rRNA from 1 species
UACGUAGGGUGCAAGCGUUAAUCGGAAUUACUGGGCGUAAAGCGUGCGCAGGCGGUUCUAUAAGACAGAUGGGAAAUCCCCGGGCUCAACCUGGGAACUGCAUUUGUGACUGUAGAGCUGGAGUACGGUAGCGGGGGAUGGAAUUCCGCGUGUAGCAGUGAAAUGCGUAGAUAUGCGGAGGAACACCGAUGGCGAAGGCAAUCCCCUGGACCUGUACUGACGCUCAUGCACGAAAGCGUGGGGAGCAAACAGG